GUACUAUAGAGCUCCAGAAUUUAUUCAUCCUUUCUCACUGAAACUGUACACUUUGACCAAUAUUACCUAUUUCCUCCCUCUCUCCAGCACCUGAUAAUUACCUGCUUCUGUGAAUUUGACUUCUUUCAAGCAGGAUCAUACAGGAAGAAGAAAGGAACAGAACCUCGAAACUGGAAUUU
rnacentral:lncRNA from 1 species